AUUGAACGCUGGCGGCGUGCUUAACACAUGCAAGUCGAGCGGAAAGGCCCCUUGUGGGUACUCGAGCGGCGAACGGGUGAGUAACACGUGAGUAAUCUGCCCUUCACUUCAGGAUAGCUCCCGGAAACGGGGAUUAAUACUGGAUAUGACACAUUCGCGCAUGUGGGUGUGUGGAAAGUUUUUUCGGUGGGGGAUGUGCUCGCGGCCUAUCAGCUUGAUGGUGGGGUAAUGGCCUACCAUGGCUUCGACGGGUAGCCGGCCUGAGAGGGUGACCGGUCACACUGGGAAUGAGGCGCGGCCCAGACUCCUACGGGAGGCAGCAGUGGGGAAUAUCGGACAAUGGGCGGAAGCCUGAUCCAGCAACGCCGCGUGAGGGAUGACGGCCUUCGGGUUGUAAACCUCUUUCAGCACAGACGAAGCGCAAGUGACGGUAUGUGCAGAAGAAGGACCGGCCAACUACGUGCCAGCCGCCGCCGUAAGAC
rnacentral:rRNA from 1 species